rnacentral:lncRNA from 1 species
AAGGAACUCAGCAUAUAAUUAAAUCAAGAUGUACAUGUGUGGUGGAGUAAAUGAUGGUGAUGGUAAAAGAAUGUAUAAGUGAUAAUAAAACUUACUUCUCAUUGCUCCUCAUAUUGCUAUCUCUCCUCUUCUUUGAUCUUUGCUUUGAUUGAACAUGGGCUAUCUUUUUCUCUUUUUUUUCAGGUGGGUAGUAGAUACCCCUAAUUCUACUAUCGGACACUUGUCAAUUUUUUCCGCUCAAGUGGGCAUCUUUGUACCCCUAAUUCUACACCAGACACUUGUCCAUUUUAACCUCUCGUCUCACUCUUUUUCUUUCUUUUUCGAGGUUCCGGACACUUGGCCCUUUUUAUUUCCUCGCAUAUUUUUGCAUAACACAUGCCUCUUUUGCAUAGAAUCUUUUUAGAGAGAGCACUUGGGACAGUGAGUGAUAAUAAUAUUUUUAGCAAUUUUAAUGAGUGGUGGUGGAGGGUGUAGUAGAUGUGUGCAAGUGAAUAUCUUAAUUUAACCAUAUGAAAAGCUCCUAAGGGUCUACACAGCU